rnacentral:rRNA from 1 species
GCACGAUUAUACAGCGAGACUGCGAAUGGCUCAUUAAAUCAGUUAUAGUUUAUUUGAUGGUACAUGCUACUUGGAUAACGGUGGCAACUCUAGCGCUAAUACAUGUCGUUGAUGCCCGACGCAAGGAGGGCGGACUUUAUUAGGUUCAAACCAUCCGGAGCAAUCCGUGUGGCGAGUCAUGAUAACGUAUCGAAUCGCAUGGCCUGCGUGCCGGCGAUGCUUCAUUCAAAUAUCUGCCCUAUCAACUUUCGAUGGUAAGGUCGUGGCCUACCAUGGUGACAACGGGUAACGGGGAAUAAGGGUUCGAUUCCGGAGAGGGAGCCUGAGAAACGGCUACCACAUCCAAGGAAGGCAGCAGGCGCGCAAAUUACCCAAUCCCAACACGGGGAGGUAGUGACAAUAAAUAACGAUGCGGGGCCCUCUGGGUCUCGCAAUUGGAAUGAGUACAAUUUAAAUCCCUUAACGAGGAACAAUUGGAGGGCAAGUCUGGUGCCAGCAGCCGCGGUAAUUCCAGCUCCAAUAGCGUAUAUUAAAGUUGUUGCAGUUAAAACGCUCGUAGUUGAACUUGGGGCCCGGCGGUUGUGGUCCGCCUCGCGGCGUGUACUGCGUGUGCCGGGCUCUGUGGGUGGUGCUCUGCUGCGUGUGUGCCUCGGCGGCGCGCAGGGGGGUGUGCCCGGUUUACUUUGAGGAAAUUAGAGUGUUCAAAGCAGGCGCUUGUGCCGGAAUAGAUUAGCAUGGAAUAAUAAAAUAGGACGAUUGUGGUUCUGUUUUGUUGGUUGUGACGGAACUGCCGUAAUGAUGAAUAGGGACAGUUGGGGGCAUUUGUAUUGACACGCUAGAGGUGAAAUUCUUGGAUUGUGUCAAGACAAACUACUGCGAAAGCAUUUGCCAAGGAUGUUUUCAUUAAUCAGGAACGAAGGUCGGGGGAUCGAAAACGAUUAGAUACCGUUGUAGUCUCGACAGUAAACGAUGCCGGCUCGGGAUUGGCCCUUGUAAGAUUCUCUAACAGGGUCAGCACCGUUUCGAGAAAUCAAAGCUUUUGGGUUCUGGGGGGAAUAUG